UCUCUGUGGCGUUUAAACGUGAUUGAAUUCAUUUUAAUUUCUCAUACUUAACAAUGAAAAGGUUAUGUUUUAAAUCAUAUUUUAGGAUUGCACUUAAUUGAUAUCGCUGUUGAGUGAUGUUUCAUAUCUUUUACAUUUGUUAUAACCGGACUGCAUGCGAAUUUGAACUUCAGAGCUGAAGGAGCGGGUGGAGAAAUAGUCCCAAUUUCAUAACAAUCUUAAAUAAAACUUCUAAAUAUACCCGUGUGUGUACCCGUGUGCGCGCGCGCGUGCGCGCGACCCGCUCGCGCGCGCGUGUGUAUGUACAGUAUGUGCGUGAGUUUUUAAUUUAAAAUGUCUUAACUUAACUCGGAAGGAUCUGAAUCACAGGUCAUUUCAUCUGAGAUCAUUCCGCAUGUAACAGCCGGAAUCACUCACUGUUUCCCACUGCACUACGACACAAGUCAUCAGCCGUUUCCUCAAGGUCACGUCAGAGCGGUGAUGAUGUGGAAGAGGCAGACCAGAGGGCUGAAGAAAGUCUCCUAAAUGGCCCUGCAGAUGUUCUGACGGACUUUGGAGUGCCUUUUGGACUGUUUUAUGCCCUCUAUUUAGAGAAGACUUAAUUCUGUAUGUUCAGUCUGUAUGAUAAGUGAAUAAAGCUUUUGUUUUUAUGUGA